rnacentral:rRNA from 1 species
CCCCUAGAUGUUCUGGGCCGCACGCGCGCUACACUGAACAGUUCAACAAGUCUUAACCUUGGCCGAUAGGUCUGGGUAAUCUUUGAACGCUGUUCGUGACUGGGAUAGACCUUUGCAAUUAUGGGUCUUCAACGAGGAAUUCCUAGUAAACGCAAGUCAUCAGCUUGCAUUGAUUACGUCCCUGCCCUUUGUACACACCGCCCGUCGCACCUACCGAUUGAAUGGUCCGGUGAAGCCUCCGGAUUGGCGCGCACCUCGGUGCCGCCGAGAAGUUGGCUAAACCUUACCAUUUAGAGGAAGGUGAANUCGUANCA